AUUGAACGCUGGCGGCAGGCCUAACACAUGCAAGUCGAACGGUAACAGGAAACAGCUUGCUGUUUCGCUGAUGAGUGGCGGACGGGUGAGUAAUGUCUGGGAAACUGCCUGAUGGAGGGGGAUAACUACUGGAAACGGUAGCUAAUACCGCAUAACGUCGCAAGACCAAAGAGGGGGACCUUCGGGACGUUUGCCAUCGGAUGUGCACAGAUGGGAUUAGCUAGUAGGGGGGGUAACGGCUCACCUAGGCGACGAUCCCUAGCUGGGCUGAGAGGAUGUCCAGCCACACUGGAACUGAGACACGGUCCAUACUCCUACGGGAGGCAGCAGUGGGGAAUAUUGCACAAUGGGCGCAAGCCUGAUGCAGCCAUGUCGCGUGUAUGAAGAAGGCCUUCGGGUUGUAAAGUACUUUCAGCGGGGAGGAAGGGAGUAAAGUUAAUACCUUUGCUCAUUGACGUUACCCGCAGAAGAAGCACCGGCUAACUCCGUGCCAGCAGCCGCGGUAA
rnacentral:rRNA from 1 species